CACACGGGAAAAGUACUGCACUGCCACAUGUUAACCACUGACUAUUGAAAAUAUCCUUGCUACACAUUAUUAGCCCACCCAUCCUGACCCCAUUAUGACACAACUUAAGCAGCAGUUCUCAGAGAGUUCAAACAUUGUGGUGUAAGCAAUUCAGUGCUCUUUCUCAGGAGGUAGCUACACACAGAACAUUCACUGCAUAGUCCAGAGUAACAAAAUAAGAGGUAUCAGUCACCCAAAGGAUGUUGUAGAAAGUUUCCUGUGCACCUGUGAGAGAAAGCAUGUUUUGUUUCUGUGGAGUGCAGCUGGUCCAGGUUCAAAAUAGAAUUGGCUCCAUCUGUGAGUCUGCUUUUGGAAAAGAACUAUCCUUCCUCAUUAAGCUCUAUGCCAGACAAUGGAACAGGAACCAUGCUGCAACCUUCCCAAAUCUACCCAGGUGAAAAGGGAGCACAGGAGGAUAGAAAUACAAAGAUCAGAAGUGCAUGAAAGGGGUAGCAGAUCCGAGAUUCUGGCAGCUUCUUCACUCUCCUUCCCAUGAAGAACUCACUGUCAAAAUAUUCUGAAGGAAUGGAGACUCCAUAUUUUGGUAUGGCCACUUCAUAAGGAGAGAAAUCUGCCCACUCUACAAAGAAUUUACAUGAGGCAUGUUUGUUGCAAUAAAAACAAAACCCCAAAA